rnacentral:lncRNA from 1 species
GAAAUUCUGCCUAGUUUUAAGCUGGAUUUAGAGUUUCGGCAGCAGCUGGUUUUUGUUAAAAAGUGAUUGUUGUUUCGCUGGGAUUUUGGCCAAGUUUUGGCUGGUAUUUGGGCAGUGAUGUUUUGAUGGUGUUUUGGGAUGUUUUGAAGCUGAUUUCGGAUGGGUUUUCAGCUGGCUUUUGGUUAAAGAGAAACCAUAGAAGUUGCCCCUCUUCCCUGAAGAAGAAGAUCGAAGCCGUCUUUUGUGUUCUAGCC